CACAGCAAAAGACCAAUAAAUACCACAACAAAAGCCGCCCUCCUAGAAGCACAUUGAGCCACACUAUAACUAUAGCUGAACAACUGUUAGAACUAGUAACAAGAAACCUUCUCUCAGACACACCUGUGCCCCAGAAAUAGAAAGCCUGCUGGAUAUUAACAGACCAGACCCGGCACCAUGCCUCGCUCAUAAGGCCAACAAACUGUCAAACCAACACCGGAGUGCCAGAAAGAUAGAUUAAAAGUCAUAUAAGGAACUCAGCAAAACUUGUCCCAACUGUUUACCAAAAACAUAGCCUUUAGCCAAACAAGUAUUAAAGGUCCCGCCUGCCCAGUGAUAUAUUUCAACGGCCGCGGUAUUCUAACCGUGCAAAGGUAGCGUAAUCACU
rnacentral:rRNA from 1 species